CUGAAGAGGAAAAUGGGUGCUUGAUUAGCUCUGCCGGAAGGACUGAUUGCAGUAAAAAGUUGAAUUUAAAAAAAACCCUCGUCUUUCUGGUUCCAAGAUGCUUUCCGUCCCAGAGUCGCCGGGAGUUGGGGCUUCCAUCCUUCCCCCGUCUCCAUCCUGAGCACCCCCCGACCAAGCCCGUCCAUCUUUUCUCGGCGCUGACCCCUUUAUAGCGGUCCCGUUUGCAAGAAUCGCGCUACACGCGGGGUUGGACCACAGGGGCAUCUCGGAAGUACAAGUGGAAAAAGGUGAAGGCCGCCGCGACGAAGCGGAUGUACUCUUCGAAGUUGACCUCGCCGUCUUGAUCCGUAUCCAGCAGGGCCCCAUUUCCUCCAUCACAAACACAUUUUCCAAACUGGCGUACUGAGAACUCAUUCUGGAGAAGAUCAGUGGAGAAAAUUAAGUUUCAAGCCUGAAGUGGCUGAUUCCUGAUCUGGGGGAAGGACAGGGGGUUUCUCCGCCCCGGCCGAAUGCAAGCCGUGAUUGCCAACCCACGGGGCAGAGGACGGUUCGUGUCGAGACACGGAUGCUGCGUUGGAGGAACGGCAGCCGAGAAUUUUUCAGUGCAGUUCGGAAGAUGGAUGCUCUGAAAAUGGAUAUAUUCAGGGAAAGGAUUCGCAAAAACGGUUGCUUUCGUGCAGAGAAUCUGUGAAAGGCUGCAUGGCCAGGAUGAACUUUGUGGAGCGAUGCAGAUGGAUGGAAAGCGCGCGCAGAGCGGACGUUGUUUCCUUGCCCUUCCGUGCAGAGUUUGGGCAGACGGGUACAUUCCUCUCUACGUUCGCCACGCAUUCCCAAAGCGAACGGCGCCGGUACUAAAUCGACGGAUAAAGCGGAAAGAGCUAAUCCGGGUCCCAUCCGUGGAUCAGGCCACGACAAGCAACGCCUCGUUCACGGCUUGCCCCUGGCGUGUAACACGGAGUCGGAUCAACGGCUUUAUCCGUGGAAGGCCAAGGUUUUUGCUCCGUGUGAUAUUUGAAUGAGGAAGAGGAAUCGCUCACGUUGGAGCUGGUCUCUGUCAACAGGAAACCCUUCCUCUUUGCAGACCGUAAUCUCCCCGGUGGAGCUCGUGACCCCAAGGUGGGAAAGGCAAACUGCACAUCCAGACAGCUGUCUUGGCUGGGCAGGGAGGUCCCUCCAGUUGCUCUUGGAUGACAGUUCCCAUCAUCCUUGCCUCGCGGGAGGCCAGGUUGGGCACGGUCGUCCCCCCGUCGCUUUGCGAGGGGCGGUGCUGCGUGGAGGGCAGGGAAGCAAGUUCACGCAGAAGAGGUUUAUCGGAGGCUCGUGCCAGUCAGCCAGCCGAUGGACCCGCCCUGUUCAGAGGAAGUCUAUCUCAGAGUACCAUUUGCCGGGCAUGGCUCGGGAAGGGCCCUGUCGGAGCGACGCCCCUGCCAGUUUCAAGGAAGCUUUCGAAUAAACGAUGCCAUGAUAAUUUUAUGGCGCUUUAUGGACCAUAAAUGCAUUUUGAUGGACUAGGUGCCGCCGUUCUAGCGUAGCCAUUUCAUUGAGUCUCCAAACCUUCUUUUCCUGAUUUUUAAACUCAAGCAGCACCCUUGGGGCAUGUCAGAAGGUUACCCGAUUAACAAUCCUUAUUCCAUUAUUAUUCCUAUUUUAAGGGAAGAUUGCACCGGGAAAGCAACUUUUUUUACGUAAUUGUUACUGGAGGCAGCUCCCAAAAUAAAAACAGCAGUUGAAAAGCAAACACAGAAUUAAUUCAAUAUCUCCCCAUCCCUGGAGCUCUCAGGGGCAUGGAGGACUACAACUCCCAGAAUCCCCUUAGCCAGGGGCUCUGCCAGCUGAGGGCUCUAGAGGCAGUCACUGUAUCCGGAGGGCACCAGGUGGGGGAGAGGUGGUGUGAAGAAGUCAGAAACACUGCUUUUUUCUCCCCCUCCUCCUUUUAAGCAAGAUUUAAACUCCAGAUCGAGCGGAAGAAAAGCAGGGUGUUGGCGAAACGUUUCACAAGUUUCAGCUUGAUCAGCCACAUCUGAACAGCCUCGGGAGCGUUGAGGGAUCAGAUCGAGGGCUCAGAGGUGGCUGAGGAAGCAGGAGAGGGUCCCCAUUCUUCCCCAAAUCCCGUGAAAGACAGGGCCAGGUUCACAAGACCCCUGAAACCCAGCUGAACCAAACACAGAGCAUGCGUUCCCGUCCCGUGCGGUCUCUAAAUCUGAAAGGGAAGACCUAGUUCUCGCCCGGUGCCCCCCCCGCCGAGAAAAACCCGGCGUUCCCCCAUCUUGGUGCCCAACCACCCAACCCAGGUCUCAAAUGUUGUGAGAAUCUGCCCAGCCUUUCCUCUGAGUUUCCUAUAGGUCGCGGCUGGCCCGUCUUCAAGCCCCAGAAGACCUUCAUUCUUUCCCCCUUUGGGAAUUCUUCCCUUCAACUUCCGGCUUCCGAAUGUACCUGGUUGGCUGAUCCGAUAGGUAGGUCGAUCGGCAGGGAGGUCGAUCGAUAGACGGAGGGACGGACGGAUGUGUCAAAGCGGGUGAAACCCACACUGGCUCCAGGACCUCCGCAAAUUUCACAACCCAGAAACCUCUCUCUCGGUGGCAUCGUCUGUCGGGACCCCCUUCCCAGCCACCCACCCCAGUGCCCAAGGGGGCCUCUCGCCCACCACUGAGGCUUU